AGAGUUUGAUCCUGGCUCAGAGCGAACGCUGGCGGCAGGCUUAACACAUGCAAGUCGAGCGGGCGUAGCAAUACGUCAGCGGCAGACGGGUGAGUAACGCGUGGGAACAUACCUUUUGGUUCGGAACAACACAGGGAAACUUGUGCUAAUACCGGAUAAGCCCUUACGGGGAAAGAUUUAUCGCCGAAAGAUUGGCCCGCGUCUGAUUAGCUAGUUGGUGAGGUAACGGCUCACCAAGGCGACGAUCAGUAGCUGGUCUGAGAGGAUGAUCAGCCACAUUGGGACUGAGACACGGCCCAAACUCCUACGGGAGGCAGCAGUGGGGAAUAUUGGACAAUGGGCGCAAGCCUGAUCCAGCCAUGCCGCGUGAGUGAUGAAGGCCCUAGGGUUGUAAAGCACUUUUAGUGGGGAUGAAAAGCACAUUGCUAAUACCAGUGUGUCUUGACCUAACCCAAAGAAAAAGCACCGGCUAACUCUGUGCCAGCAGCGGCGGUAAUAC
rnacentral:rRNA from 1 species